rnacentral:rRNA from 1 species
UACGGAGGGUGCAAGCGUUAUCCGGAUUCACUGGGUUUAAAGGGUGCGUAGGUGGGUUGGUAAGUCAGUGGUGAAAUCUCCGUGCUUAACAUGGAAACUGCCAUUGAUACUAUUAGUCUUGAAUCUUCCGGAGGUCAGCGGAAUAUGUCAUGUAGCGGUGAAAUGCUUAGAUAUGACAUAGAACACCAAUUGCGAAGGCAGCUGACUACAGGGGCAUUGACACUGAGGCACGAAAGCGUGGGGAUCAAACAGG